GAUGAACGCUGGCGGCGUGCCUAAUACAUGCAAGUCGAGCGAACGGACGAGAAGCUUGCUUCUCUGAUGUUAGCGGCGGACGGGUGAGUAACACGUGGAUAACCUACCUAUAAGACUGGGAUAACUUCGGGAAACCGUAGCUAAUACCGGAUAAUAUUUUGAACCGCAUGGUUCAAAAGUGAAAGACGGUCUCGCUGUCACUUAUAGAUGGAUCCGCGCUGCAUUAGCUAGUUGGUAAGGUAACGGCUUACCAAGGCAACGAUGCAUAGCCGACCUGAGAGGGUGAUCGGCCACACUGGAACUGAGACACGGUCCAGACUCCUACGGGAGGCAGCAGUAGGGACUCUUCCGCAAUGGGCGAAAGCCUGCCGGAGCAACGCCGCGUGAGUGAUGAAGGUCUUCGGAUCGUAAAACUCUGUUAUUAGGGAAGAACAUAUGUGUAAGUAACUGUGCACAUCUUGACGGUACCUAAUCAGAAAGCCACGGCUAACUCCGUG
rnacentral:rRNA from 1 species